UGGGGAAUUGUUCGCAAUGGGCGCAAGCCUGACGACGCAACGCCGCGUGGAGGACGAAGAUCUUCGGGUCGUAAACUCCUUUCGAUCGGGAAGAACGCCUCUGGUGUGAAUACCGCCAGAGGGUGACGGUACCGAGAGAAGAAGCCCCGGCUAACUUCGUGCCAGCAGCCGCGGUAAUACGAGGGGGGCAGGCGUUGUUCGGAUUUAUUGGGCGUAAAGGGUGCGUAGGCGGUUUGGCAAGUCUUGUGUGAAAUCUUUGGGCUCAACCCAAAGUCUGCACAAGAAACUGCCGGGCUUGAGUAUGGGAGAGGUGAGUGGAAUUUCCGGUGUAGCGGUGAAAUGCGUAGAUAUCGGAAGGAACACCUGUGGCGAAAGCGGCUCACUGGACCAUUACUGACGCUGAGGCACGAAAGCUAGGGGAGCAAAC
rnacentral:rRNA from 1 species